GCGGUGGUAGCUCAGUUGGUAGAGCACGAGCUUCCCAAGCUCGGGGUCGUGGGUUCGAAUCCCAUCCGCCGCU
rnacentral:tRNA from 1 species